UACGUAGGGGGCAAGCGUUGUCCGGAAUCAUUGGGCGUAAAGAGCGUGUAGGCGGCCCGGUAAGUCCGCUGUGAAAGUCCAGGGCUCAACCCUGGGAUGCCGGUGGAUACUGUCGGGCUCGAGUCCGGAAGAGGAGUGUGGAAUUCCCGGUGUAGCGGUGAAAUGCGCAGAUAUCGGGAAGAACACCUGUGGCGAAGGCGGCUCUCUGGGACGGUACUGACGCUGAGACGCGAAAGCGUGGGGAGCGAACGGG
rnacentral:rRNA from 1 species